AGGCUCUUGUCAUGAGCUUCCAAGGCUAUGGAAGUCUCUUGAGUUCACCAACUCUGAUCUUAUUUAGAUAAGGCCAUAGUCAAAGUGAAAGUUCUUUCCUCCCUUCAGAGAAAGGAACAUAUAGAGAAGAACUCUUGUUGCUUUCUGGUUCACUUUUGAUGAAGCCACCUGGGAGAAUGGCACUGAAGUGAUGAAUGGGUGAAUUGGAAGACGAUAAGAAGGUUACCUAUGUGGGAGGCGACAGGCAGCAGAAAUGAAGAGGUGUGCCAGUGAAAAAAAGGAAGACUUGGGAAAUUCAUUCAGGUGUCAGGUGCUCUGCUGAUGCUCGUCUUACUUGUUCAAUGUGCAAAGGAAAGAUGACAGUCGGAGCCCUUCACCGAGGAGAAUGUAAGGAUUAACUCUACCUAUAUGUCUCCUCUGGGCCACAUGGAGACUUUUUCUUUUUUUAGUUGGGAGCAGCACAUACCUGUUGGCUCCAUUAAAACUGAGGAGAGAGCAACCAUGGUAAGUGCUCUCUGCAUUUGCUAACAUAAUUAGUCAAUACUUGGGCCUCAUCACCAGGUAUUAAAAAUUUAUCAUCACAUAUUUUAUACUCAGAGAAGUUAAUUCCUUUAGGAUAUCUUCUGGGCCUAUGAGCCUUCGCUGAGAACUGCUCAGCAAGCCCUGGCAGCCAUGUUGUUAUUCUGUGACCCUGUUAGGUGAUUUCGUAGACACCUGACCGGACAGUCUCUCACCUGGCAGGCCGCUGGUCUGUUGGUUGUUUGAAUUUAAGUCAAACUUGGCAGCUGGGGUGCUAUUGUCUGCCAAGUUCAUAGUGGGGGGGUGGGCAGAGGAGCAGUCUGCUGAGACAGAAUGGAGCAGAUAUACAAGGUGAUGAGGUAGAAGCAAAUCACAAGUAAGGCACAUGUGUGAGAAUGAGCAGGCCAACACCUUAGGUUCCUGGAAGCUUUUAGUGUGGUUCUGUCAAUUUCCGAGAUCUCACUGCUGUGAGAUCACCUCUGCCCCUGCCUGGCCUGUUUCUGAUACUAGGAGCAGAGACACAUGUUUAUGGGUAGAGGAUGCCCUUGGGAAUGUGGGGAGAAGCCUGGGAUGACAACCUCUUGUCUUCUUGUGUCUUGCUCUUGGUCUCUUCAGAGAAAACCCUUUACCCAGAAAAGGGAAGGUCAUGGCCACAGCUCCCAUGGGUCCUCCUCAAAAUUCGAAGCAGGAGAGGAUCCCUCCAGCCCAGUGAUUCUUCCAACUUCACAAUUACACGAAAUUACCAAUAAAAAGCCUUCCUGCCAUGAAACAGUGUGAACUUAUCUACCUCCUGAGCAUAUUUACAAUCAACAGCUUUAGAGUAUCAAUUAGAUUCUCUGCACAUGACUUCAGCCUCUCUUUUAAACACCCACACUUUAUGACUUUGUGCACUCAGAGCAACAACAGAAAUUAUCCUUUAAUUAAACAAACCAACCCUAUACCUUUCUCAAGUAUUUGUGCACAUACACUCACCUCAGGUGGAGAAGCGUCUCAUGGGGUUUGCACUUCAUCCAAUAAAAGUCAUCUAUUCAGCUCAUUCUUAAUAUCCUUAAUAAUAGUAAUAACAAUCUCUUCAUAUGUUCAUAUAUUUUCUGGCUACAAAGUAUUUUCUUUAUCUACCUUAACAGCUCCUACAAGGUAGAGUUACCAGAGACCAUUCACUCCACUUUAUUUUUAUUUAUCAAUGAUACCUUCCAUUUAUAGGGAGGCAUUCUGUUAGCCACUCUUCAACAGGAUCAUCUUCUUAAUUUUAUUUAACUUGCAAUUUCUGGUCUUCUUCACUAGGCAAAUUUUUUAUUAAAAAUCCUUUUCCUCAUAGUAAGUCUUCGGUGUACUGAUAAUCUAUUAAUCCAUGAUUCACUUAAAAAUAUUUAUGUGGAAGGCAGAGCGACAGAGGUAUACUCUGUCAGCCCCCAGACGCCAACAACUGCCUACAGCUGGCUAGGCCGAACUUGGGAACUCGAUUCACGUCUCCCACAUGGGUGGUCUGAGCCCAAUCACUUGAACCAUUACUGUUGCCUCCUAGGAUACGCAGUGGCAGGAAGCUGGAGUCAGAAGUUAAGAGAAUGGGAUUGAACCGAGGCAUUCUGAACUGGGACGUGUCUUUAUUGAUAUCUUAAAUGCUAGGCCAAAUAAACUGCCUCCUCCCCAACAUUUAAUUCAUUUAACAAACUUUAAUUAACUGCUUUUUAUUACGUUUACAUUAUGUGGGAUAUUUUUCCUAUUUUAACUGAUAAGUUCUUACAACAAAUCUCUCAGAGAAAUGUGACAAUUCCCUUUUUAUAGAAGAAAACAACUCUCAGAGAUUGCUCUGCUCCAAAUUACCAAGUGAUGAGGAAUGCCAGAGUUGAAUUUAAACUAUCUGAUUUCAAAUCUGGGCUCUUUCCAUUGCAUUAAAACAAAACAAAGCAAAACAAAAACUAGAACCAGGAGUGAAUCACUACUGCCUGGAAUAGUUCUUGUGGAACUUAAACAGCUUUCUCUGUAGUCCUCUUUGCAUGUGCCACAGGGCUUCCUCAUUCUUAUUAAAUGAGUGGUGAGUCACUCCCUGGGAAAAGCUAGAGGAGGUACUGUGGGCCACCUUUAUUAUCUCUGCAGAAAUGGAGGAGUGGGCUAAAGAGGGUGUGGACAUAGAGCUGUGUGUCCAGAGACAGGGCUCAAGAAUGCUCCUUGCUGGGAAAGGUGGGAGUGGGUGAGGAGAGGAAAUGGGGAAAGAUGGCCAGGUGGUGAGAAAAAUAUGGAAGAGUAAGACCAGGAUGGAGUGAAGUGCCUUGAAGCAUGCAGGCUAGUGACUGACAGUGAGUCAGCAUAAAGCAAGGAGUAAGACUCAGGGUGAUGAGGGUUAGGUCAGGCUAGCAAUUUCCGUCGUGGUUUCAUUGGGGGCUAGAAAUAAAAACCUCAUCAUUAACCAAACACAACACUAACAUGAAGAGGUGAAAUAAUUUAUUCUUAAAUAACAGGCUGACCUAUUCAGGAUUGUAAUUUUAAUGUAAGACUAACCUUUGAAAAUAGAUCAAGUGAUAUAAAUUAUUAAGGAGAAGACAUUCAUCAGAUAGAUGGUGUCUAUUAGUAAUUUUAUGCAUGAAGAGUUUCCUUCUGAAGUACAGUUGCAGCUGCCACCGCACAGAAAAAAAUGAAGAUCCCAGUUACCCUUUCGUGACAUGUUCGGCUGAUUUUAAUCAGUAUUGCUCCUGUCAAAUGAAAUGAAAAGACUGAAAUAUGAUCUCUCCUGUGGAUGUACACUCACAGCCUCCCACCUCCUUCUAUGCAGCUGCACUGGGAGUCUUGCUGGUGCUGAGGAAAUGGAGACACACAUUGCAAGCCGUUUUUUUUCCUUUCUAUGAGGGGUGCAUAUAGCAAACAGCUGGUCCAAACACAAAAUAUUUACUGAGAAUCUUGUGACCAGUACUGGGCUAAGUGUUAUGUGGGGGGACAGAGAAGGGCACAAAAGUUGAAGACAGCUCUUCUCCUAAGGAGUUUAAUGUCAAGACCAGAGAGAGAUUUGAAUUAAGUAGAACCUUGCAGUUCUUACAGCUAGAUGAGUCUGUGCAGCUUGCUAAGUCUCCUUGAGCCUCAGUGGCCUUGCUUUUUGAGGAGUCAUGGGAUGAUGUCUGGAAAGGACAUUUUAUCGUGCUUGGCAUUCAGGAAUGCAUAGAAUCAUAUAAAAUAGCUAAUGGUUAUUACUAUUUUAUUUUCACUUCUGACUGAAUUUGGGGUGUGGAUGCUUUUUUUUUUUUUUAAUAAAAAACCACACAGGAUCUUUCCUUUAAAUAUUUACAGUUCAUGCUUUGUGUAAUUUAAAAAUUUUCUUUUCAUUUGAAAGAGAGAUCUUUCACUUGCUAGUUUAUUCCUCAAAUGCCAACCAUAAUCAGGGUUGUACCAAGCUAAGCCAGAAGUCUGGGAUUCAACCUGAGUCUCCUACAGGAGUGGCAGGGACCUCAGUCAUUAUCUGCUGCCUCCGGAGAUGCACAUUCAUGGAAAGCUGGGUGGGAAGUGGAGGCGUUGGGACUUGAACCAGGCACUCGGAUAUGGGAUGCAGGCAUCCCAAAUGUUGUCUAAACUACUGAGCCAAAUGUUCACUCCAGGGUUCACCUCUUUGAGGAAGCUGCAAGCAGAUGGUAAAUAAUGCAGGCUGUAGAGAAAGACGUCGUAGAGUAAAUGGCGUGGGGAGCCAUCAGAGGAUUAGUGCUUGGAGAGGGAGUGUUUCUGCUGGCUGUAGGCAGUAGGAGGCCCCCACAGCAAGGGCAACUUAGGAGGUUCCUUGGCAAUUGGUCCUGUAGGGGUGGUUACCCUGGUGGAGGCCAGGAAGUUAGUGGGUGCUGCUGUGGCUCCCACAGGGCCCUAGGUGCUGGGAGAAGAUGGGUGUCUUAAUCGAAGUGGUGAUCCCUCUCAAUGAUGAAGACUUACACCUCUGGGUUCUUCCUUUUAAUGCCAGGCUCCACUGCCCUCCCGCGCACCGUACCCCUCUCUUCCCUCUUUUCUCAAUCCACCCAGUCCUUAUUUAGAGGAUCACUAGGUGCAGCAAUUUCUCUUUGAAAUGUUUUAGGGCACAAACUUUGUUUCAAGUAUUUCAGACCUUAGAUGUUUAAAUCUCAAAAAGCCUGGCUCUUAAGACACAAAAGCUAUGCCAUGAAAACUCAGAAUCAGUUAUUUAGCUUUUCUGCUCUAUAAGCCGUUUCCUGAGGCAAGAGUACUUUGGAAUGAAUGGUGGUAGUGGUGGGAUGUGAAGAGUUUGGGGGGUACUCUCUGCACUUCAAAAUGAUCCUGCAAAACUGUUGUCUCCUCCUCCUGCUCUGCCUUCUUCCCCUCCUCUUCAUGAUAAUGAUGAUGAUGUUGUUAUUGAUGCCUGCUUUACAAAACCAGUGAGCAAGUUUGGAAUGUUAAUACCAGGUCAGUUGACUAUCCCAGGAAAGAGAUGUUGAACUUGGGUCAGGAGCAGCUGCCAACUCCUGUGAAAAUAAAGGGGGAGGACAGAUGAGUCAGGGAAAGGCUCUCAGAUGAAGGCGCUAGCAGAAGAAAAGGGGAAAGAGAACAGGAUUUGGGAGAGUGACAAGCACAGAACAUGGAGCAUGUCUCACUAUUAGGAGGCGCUCCAGACCAGUGAUUUCCCAUCAGAGGCAACUUGCGUGGAGCAGAAAUGAUGGACCCUAGUAACCAUGCUGUGUUUUGCUGCUGGCUGGGGGCUGCCUAGAAAAAAGACUGUCUUGGCUCAAAAGCUCAAAUGGACCUUGCAAGUGUUACAGCUGCAGGCUGUCAACCAACUGCUUACCUAGUAGCUGCAAGAAAGUGUUUUCUCAACAGAGGAUCCAUGUGGCAUACCUCCUUUGGUAGCAUAUGAAGCCACGGCCAUGUAAUUAUCAUGGAAAGAAGGGUCUCAGAGCUGGGGCUGGAACCGAGUCCUGAUUACUGAUUACCACUUUACCUUGAAAUUCACAGGAGAAUCAAAGACUACCACCAGAUGGCAUAUAAGGAAGCGUUAAAUCUCACUGUGUAGACAGAGAGAGGUGCUGAGUUUCACAGUUGUGAGAGAUCUUCUGGAUGACUUAAUCAGAUACAGUCUCCUUUGUAGGAUAGGCCACCUGGAGUCCAACAAACUCAGUAAAAAAGGAGUCACAGCACCUGUAGCUACCAUGGUUAAAUUUGCCUGACUUCUCUGACCAUACCACAUCCCAUGCCAUGCUAUCUACCUUAGGCGUUUCAGUCUUACACUGUCUAGUCAAAAACAAAGAUCUUUGGUCAAAAAGAUGCUGUUAAAUCCUUAGAUUUGCUAAAAUUAUUCAUGAGUGGAAAAUCUCUGGGAGAUAAAGCAUGCUAUUUCCCUAAUCAUUUGGCCAAAGUCCAAGUGAUAGUGCAUAGUCUUGGAGGAAGAACAGCUAUGAUUUAAUAUGCGGCUAAGGCAAGCGUUUCUACAAGGUCUUCUUAGGGGCAGUGAGGAAAAGUUACGAUGGAAAGGAGCAGGGCUUGGCAGCAUGGCUGGAGUUUCAGUCUCACCUGCCAGCCUGUUAGCACCCACAAAUUUCACAUGAGUAAAACUGAGGCCAAGUCAUAUGCCAGCAAGCAAUGUCCAGGUACCUUCACAUCAAUAAGUUAUGAUAAAAUUAAUGAUAAUGACAGAAUUAAAAAAAACACAAAGAACAAGCCAAAAAAUGUGUCUCACCCCAGACAAUCAACAAUACAAAAAUACAAAAUACAAACCAAGAAAGUACUGCUGCUGAUUGCCAGCAUUUUCUGGGAUGCUUUCCAGUGUGGCUUUUUGUUACAAGGGAGGGCCUUACUGCCCUCUGAGUUACACCCAAGUUUAAACCUCAUCAUUAGUAAUGCUAAUAAAAAAAUAAUAGUGGUUUAUAUUUAUUUUCUCUUAAUACAGAGGAAUCAACUGUACUAAGUCUAUUUGGUCUCCUUUCACUUUUGCAAUAGCCCUAAGAGUAGGCAGCAUUUAUUCACUUGGAGAUGAAGAAAUGAGGCUAGUACAGUUAGGUAACCAGUUCAAGGUUGCAUCUAUAUUAAAUUACAAGGUUGAUGUGUAGAUUUAACUCUUUCAGAAUCCAAAGCCCAUGCUUUUCUUCAUUAUACACCCUCUUUACUAUUAAUUGAAUCCAACCCAAAACAUAAAGUCUUUUCAUGUCAUUUUUUAUUUUAUUUUAUUUUUUUAUUUUUUGACAGGCAGAGUGGACAGUGAGAGAGAGAGACAGAGAGAAAGGUCUUCCUUUGCCGUUGGUUCACCCUCCAAUGGCCGCCGCGGCCGGCGCACCGCGCUGAUCCGAUGGCAGGAGCCAGGUACUUAUCCUGGUCUCCCAUGGGGUGCAGGGCCCAAGUACUUGGGCCAUCCUCCACUGCACUCCCUGGCCACAGCAGAGAGCUGGCCUGGAAGAGGGGCA